GGUUGUGGCUCAGUGGUAGAGUGCUUGCCUUCAGUGUGAGGCACUGGGUUUGAUUCUCAGCACCA
rnacentral:tRNA from 1 species